AAUACCCCAUAAUAUCUCAUGCGGCAUCGCAUGGGGUUGAAAACUCCGGUGGUUGAUGAUGGGCAUGCGUUGUAUUAGCUGGUUGGUGAGGUAACGGCUCACCAAGGCGACGAUACAUAGGGGGACUGAGAGGUUAACCCCCCACAUUGGUACUGAGACACGGACCAAACUCCUACGGGAGGCAGCAGUGAGGAAUAUUGGUCAAUGGACGCAAGUCUGAACCAGCCAUGCCGCGUGCAGGAUGACGGCUCUAUGAGUUGUAAACUGCUUUUGUACGAGGGUAAACCCCGAUACGUGUAUCGGGUUGAAAGUAUCGUACGAAUAAGGAUCGGCUAACUCCGUGCCAGCAGCCGCGGUAAUACGGAGGAUCCGAGCGUUAUCCGGAUUUAUUGGGUUUAAAGGGUGCGUAGGCGGUUUGAUAAGUUAGAGGUGAAAUGUCGGGGCUCAACCCCGAAACUGCCUCUAAUACUGUUGGACUAGAGAAUAGUUGCGGUAGGCGGAAUGUAUGGUGUAGCGGUGAAAUGCUUAGAGAUCAUACAGAACACCGAUUGCGAAGGCAGCUUACCAAACUAUAUCUGACGUUGAGGCACGAAAGCGUGGGUAGCAAACAGGAUUAGAUACCCUGGUAGUCCACGCAGUAAACGAUGAUAACUCGUUGUCGGCGAUACACAGUCGGUGACUAAGC
rnacentral:rRNA from 1 species